UCUAUUUUUAGGGAAAAACAAUAUUUUUGAAUCUAACACCCUAACGCUUCGAAAAUUUAAAAUAGUACCACCCUUAUAGUGUAUAAUUAAUUGAAGAACAGUGCGUAGUAUUCUCAUACUACGCAGUAGAUUGCUAAUCUAUACAAGGGACAAAGAUAUUGAAACGCACAAUUUUAUUAAAAUCCUGUUAAACAAUUUUUUUUUGGAAACAAAAACAUUUGCGUGAUAAAUUAUUAUAAGUUUUGUUUUGAAGCUAUCUAUAUUAUUUAAACUGUAAAUAUGGCAACCUCAACAAGAUCUCAAAAUAAAUUGUAUCUGAUAAAUGAAUUUCCACAAGGAUAACCGGGAACAAAAUGCCGCUUCAAUACUUAUGGCUGUUGGGCCAUUUCUACAUCACUAUCUUGAUCCAAAGAAGACAAUCCAAAAAUCAACUUGUGUUACAAUAACUGGAGUAACUAUUUUUUGGGAUAAAGUUAACAUUCCAAUAAAGGCCAAUCAAGACUGUCUAUAUAAGCUUGAACGGCUUUUUGAAUUAAAAAGAAGGGUUAAAAGAAAAUCCUAGGACCGAGGAUGAGGCUACCAAAUCUGCAAUUUAGGUUAUCUAAAGAUAUUAAAAUUAUUUGAACAAGGAAAAAGGCAAGAAAUAAUCCCAUGUCGUUCCUCAAUUCUACUCUGAGAAUCCAUCUCUUUCGUUGAAAGGCUCUUUUGAAUGAUACUUUUGAGCUUUUUUUAAUACACUAAUGCCAACCCCCUACAGCCUUGAUGCCAAUGCCUUUAGUCUCCAACAACGAGGCCCUCAAAGCUACUGUUAGCCAGCACUGGGACACCAUGACAGGACUACACCUUUAGUAGGUGCCAGACCUUCUAUCGCUCUUGGAAGCCAUAUUAAUGAUUAUGAGAGCUCAGAUACACUUUAGUUUAUAGAAUUCAUUUUGUUGAAAUUAUAUUGUUAAUUAAUAAAUUAUAUCGUGUUGAAGUUUAAAAUUCAUAGUGAUCAGAUUCUAAUGGAGCAGCACUCCGUACAUCGAGAAGCAUAAAAAUGACCUUUAUAACUAAAAAUUCCUUCUUUUUUGUUUUUUUUCGUUUUGUGACCUACAAUGUGCUCCUUUGAAAAAUAUUUUUUCACAACAUCUAAAUGAUUCAAUGUUUUUUUUAACUUAAAAAAAGAGAAAAAGGUUGAAGAUGCAACAACUUUUGUCAAUCUUCAUCGAUCAAAACUGAAAAAGAAUUAUCAAAGCUUUAUUCCUCCAGAAUCGAUUUGUAAUACUACAUAUAGUUCAAUGUACGUAAAUUUAAUAAUUAAUAAAUGAAUAUUAAACC
rnacentral:lncRNA from 1 species